ACAUGAUUAUACUUUCUUUUCUUUUUUUUUUUUUUUUGGUAGUAGAAACAAGAUAUCAAUUCAUAUUCUUUGAUAUUUAAAAUUUAAUUUCGAAUUUAAAAAAAACAUCUUGGAGAUACAAAAUUAUAUUUCUAUAGCUCUUUGUAACUUACUCUCAUAGCCAGGACCAUAGAGGAAAUGAAGUUAGGUUUAUAUAAAGCUGUUAAUUUUUGUGUUCUGGGAUUUUAUCUAGUACUAGUCUUGACUCAUCUGUGUAGGCUCAGUUUCCAUGUAUAUCAGAACUAUUUUGCUUUCUUUUGAUGAAAUAAAUGCUCAUAAUAUCUUUUAUUAAUUAAAGAUCAUUAUGUCUGUCAUCAUUGAUCAGAGCAUCCGUUAUUAAAGAUCAUAACAUUUGUUAUUAAAGAUCAUAGCAUCUCUGUUAUUAAAGAUCAUAGCAUCUCUGUUAUUAAAGAUCAUAGCAUCU